UUAUCGGAGAGUUUGAUCCUGGCUCAGGACGAACGCUGGCGGCGUGCCUAAUACAUGCAAGUCGAGCGGACAGAUGGGAGCUUGCUCCCUGAUGUUAGCGGCGGACGGGGGAGUAACACGUGGGUAACCUGCCUGUAAGACUG
rnacentral:rRNA from 1 species